rnacentral:tRNA from 1 species
AGGUAUAUAGCUCAGUGGUAGAGUGCAUGGCUAGCAUUCACAAGGUCCUGGGUUCAAUCCCCAGUACAUCCA